UGCUUUCCAUUCUUCUUCACUAAUCGCUACUUGCCAGUUGCUGAACGGAGCACCAGAGGCUCACAACGGACUGCAUUAUAGCGACGUAUUCAGCUGGUCGCACACGCAAAUAGCUAGUGCUUGAACAAGAAGAAGAAAUUGUGUUGAAGAUUUAAUGCUUUGCGGUGGUUUGAUAAUUUGUUGUAAUUGGAGUAACUAGCAAGAACAAAUUGUGUUAAUUUGAUAAUUUCAUAUUUUCUGUUUGUAUUGUAGAUAAUUUAGGUUGAGUUAUUGUAAUUUUAAAUUAAUUUAUGUGUAUUAAUUUUUUU